UACAGAGGUCUCAAACGUUGUUCGGAUUCAUUGGGCGUAAAGGGCGCGUAGGCGGCGGGGUAAGUCUGGUGUGAAAUCUCGGAGCUCAACUCCGAAAUUGCACUGGAUACUGCUCUGCUAGAGGGCUGGAGAGGAGAUCGGAAUUCACGGUGUAGCAGUGAAAUGCGUAGAUAUCGUGAGGAAGACCAGUGGCGAAGGCGGAUCUCUGGACAGCUCCUGACGCUGAGGCGCGAAGGCUAGGGGAGCAAACGGG
rnacentral:rRNA from 1 species